ACUCAAAUGAAUUGACGGGGGCCCGCACAAGCGGUGGAGUAUGUGGUUUAAUUCGACGCUACGCGAAGAACCUUACCAGGCCUUGACAUGGGAAGUGUGGGUUCCGGAAACGGAAUCCUUCAUUCAGUUGGCUUCCACACAGGUGCUGCAUGGCUGUCGUCAGCUCGUGUCGUGAGAUGUUGGGUUAAGUCCCGCAACGAGCGCAACCCUCAUCUUCAGUUGCCAUCAGGUUAAGCUGGGCACUCUGAAGAAACUGCCGGUGAUAAGCCGGAGGAAGGCGGGGAUGACGUCAAGUCCUCAUGGCCCUUACGGCCUGGGCUACACACGUACUACAAUGGUGGUGACAAUGGGCUGCGAAAGCGCGAGCUGGAGCCAAUCCCCAAAAGCCAUCUCAGUUCGGAUUGCACUCUGCAACUCGGGUGCAUGAAGUUGGAAUCGCUAGUAAUCGUGGAUCAGCAUGCCACGGUGAAUACGUUCCCGGGCCUUGUACACACCGCCCGU
rnacentral:rRNA from 1 species